rnacentral:antisense_RNA from 1 species
CUCUGCGGCGGAACGGGAGGGGGACACUUUCGAGUGUGCUGAUUCUUAGGUUCAGUCUGUCAACCCCUUCUCGUUCUGCCACCAUA